rnacentral:lncRNA from 1 species
AUUUAUUUAGUGUAAAGUCUUUUAUUCUGUUCGUCUUGCUUUUAUGUUAUUAUUAAAAUAUCAUUUUAUGAAAUUAUGGUGAUACAGAAUGAUUUUGGGGUGAUGUAGAUUACGGUGCUUACUUGGAAUAAUAAAAAUUAGCCAUCUGAUCUUGGACUGAAAAUACCUUUUAAAUUUUUACUAGUCCAGAGGUGUCGUCAUUGGAGGAAAACACGUGAGUGAAGAAAUCACACGUUGACCAGCUAGCUGACUUCAACCAGGAAAAUCUGUGAACCACAAAGAACUCUCCAAAGUCAUGACAGAAACUUAGUGAAGCAGAUGGAAACAAUAUUGUUUUGGCAGGGAACAGCAAUAUGUUGGAUCAAAAAUAAUCAAAUUAUAUUAAAGCAAUAAAGAGGCAGUAGGAAUGGAACAGAAUGAUUUGAUGGAAACAGUUGUUUAACAAACACAUAUUUAUCCUCCUUCACUUGCCAGAUAUUGUGCCAGGCAGUCGGGAGGGGACACAACAAUGAACAUGACAUGUUCCACACUCUGAAAGGUCUCAUUGUCUAGCGCCCAGACAGGGUGAGGAGACCGCGGUGAUGGAGAUGAGUACAGUGUCCCAAAGCACCUCAAGGGAGAGGACCCAGCCCAACCUGGAGGGUACAGAUAUUUCAGGGAUAGUAAAUGGCAGGUAGAAAGACAAGAAGUCACUGCGUGUGUGACGGAAGAAAUGAUGUCAGUGGAUAACUUAUUAAAGACAUUUGCCUGAAAAGAAUAAAGAAUGCUAAAUGGGGAUAGUUUGGAAUGGACAAGAAUUGGUUUGGAGUAUGUUUUAAUUUUCUGUUCAAUGUUUUGUUGUUGUUGUUAUUGUUAUUUUGGAUUGGGUUGUUUGGUUUUUUAAUCAGGAUGGGAGAGUCUUAAGUAUGUAUUUAAGCUGAAAAGAAGUUGAAGUGAAACAGAAGGAAGAGGAGGAGGAGUGGAAGAAGAAGAGGAAGAAAAUGAAGGAGGAAAGGAAAAAGAAAAAAAAAACCCUUUUGAACGCUGAGAAAGGGAUAAGAAAUUUACUAAGGCACCAGCUCAGAAGCCUGGGAGAAAGGUACAGGUGUAGGGUGGUCUUGCUAAGAAGAAGCAUCUCUCUCUGGAGAAUGAUAGAUUCACUAGACUGUUGUGGCAGUAGAUGACUUGGCAGGGAGUGGCUGGGAAGCUAAGUGUGUUAGUCAGCUUUCAGUUACUGUAACGAAUACCUGAGACAAGUCAUCUUAAAAGAGGAAUAGGUUUGUUUGAUGGGCUUCAGUUUGUUGUUGGUUGGCUUAUUGCUUUGGGACCUGUAGUGAGAUAGUAGAGGCUGCUGCUCGCCUCAAAGGACCUGAGAAGCAAAGAGGAAAGAAGGGGUCACAACAUCCCACUGAAUAUCCACUUCAAGGGCUAAUUUCCUUCCACUAGGCCCUACUUCCUAAAGGUCCCACCACCUUGCAAUAGCACUGCAGGCUGACCACCAAGACUUUAUUUAACACCUGGGUUUGUGGGGGACACUUAUCCAAAGCAUAGCAUUGAGCUUUAUCCUAACCGAUAGUCUUCAACAUCCUUAAUACAGGCCAGAGAAUACAGGCUGUUAAAAAUGAGUCAGAGUUGGAGAUGAAUGAGGAAGGUUUAGAUAAAUUACUGAGAAACUGACAGGGAGAGGUCCAAGGAUGAGUACCGCCCACCAAGUGUGGGGUAUUGGUUCCUGUCUGCAACACAGUGAGGGCUUUCUCUAGCGGUGAUAAUUGGAGCUAGGUGAUAACCCGCUGGAGAAAAGGUGGAUUGAAAAGGAAAAGGUGGAUUGCAGCUUUCAUUCAACUUGUUUAUUUCCCUUGUUGGAGGCAGUAGAAACACCAGUAAUUGAAAGUACAUAUCAAAAGUACAGGUGGGUAACAGCGGUGUCUGUUUCUGCCUGUAUUUAAGAGAAAGACUGAGUCUGCAGAGGGAGAGAGACAGGAAGAAAUGGGAUCAGGAGGCAGCAUUGGAGUUGAAAACUUCGGAAUGAAGCACUCUGGGCCAGUAAAAGAUGUGGGCUGCGGCCCAGCGAUGGUCCUGGAGUGAAGGAUUACAGUGUGGGAAGGUUUCUACAGGGACUUGGCCUCCUCUGCUGGAGUUGGAGUGAAACAGAAGUGUAUGAACUAGAGUCAAGUAUUUAAUGAGUAAGAAAAAGCAACUGGAGAUUGAUUGAGGCCUCGACUCAAAAGUCAUGGAAAAUAAGGAUUAAGAAACAGCCUCUCAGCCGGGUAUGGUGGU